rnacentral:lncRNA from 1 species
AGGGAACCGAUUCACUGAUUGCAAUCUAAAAACUGACUAUGGUCCACAGGAAAUUAACCCUCAAACUUUAUAAUUUAGCCACAGUUAAGCAGAAAAUGAUUAAUAAUGUGGCUGAUAAACAGAUUGGAUUUGCACUAUACUCAGACUUUCUCCAGACAUUACAAUCAGUAUGACCCCAUACAUGAAUGAUACUGCCCAUGUGAGGUCUGCCAUUAUCCAUGACAUUACGAAUAAUGGCGGCGUCGCUUCCACCGGCUCAUUAUGGGGAUGAACUCCCUCUGCAAGUCACCAUUCUCCAACAAGAAGAAAGAAGCCAGAUACAUCAUACAUAGUUGAAAGAUGCAACGAGAAAGGGGGCGGUAGACACAUGCAUGCACAUGCGCGCAAGGACCGCCACUUCAUCACUCCCCACUCUCACAUGGUCACCUGUGAUAAUGAGAGAUUAGGAACACAAGAGGACAUGAGAAAGAGGCUGCAGCACUGGAUGGGAGAAUGCUCAAUUAUCCAGAAAAGCAACUAGCUCAAGAAUCCAGAAAAGCAACUGGCUCAAGAUACCACAGUUAACAAAAAUCAUUCCUAAAUGAUAAGUGCCACAUGCAUGGCACGAAGCACUCUGGCCCUAACGUUUUUUACAACUAAAGCUGCCAUCUAAAAAAAAAACUGGAACUUGCCAUCCGAAAAGAAAUUGUCAUGUUUGACAACUAAAGUUGCCUUCCUUGUGUCACUUAAUUUCAAACUAUUAUAGCACACCGCAAUGGAAUUGCAGUGUGCUACAAUAGUUUCAAAUUUUAAUUAAUCACUUUCGAGACAGUGUCGAAUAGGACUUUGCAAAAUGUAUCAGAGAUUUGUGACACCGUGCCAAUUUAGCACAACGGGUUAGUUGGAUAAGAUUUAGGGAAGUUCCAAGCGUGGAGAUUAGAGAAGGUGUUGGGUGAUCAAAGACACCUUGGUGCGCGCAGGGUUGGGGAUUGGGCACGUGAAUUCCGGGGUGGUGAUCCUAGGUGGCGGGCUGCGCAUUUGGCUCUCCGACGAGCAGUGUUGCAGUGGUUUUGACGUCGCGUCUUGGUCAUGUGGAUCGCGAGGUGUCUGGUGGCGGGUGGUCUUGGCGCGGCUGGUGUAUUCGAAGGCGGCUAGACCGUGAUCUAGAUUUGGAGUUCCUCUUCCGCCGUGGGUGGUCCAAGUUCCCUCGGUGAGGUGUGAGAGAGGAGCCAAGCAAAAGCUUCAUGCCUUUGGGCCAGUGGUGACGAUGCUUCCAGGUGUCGUGUCCCUCUUGGGGCCGCCUUCUUGGCUUCCCUCCCCACCUUGCCAACGCCAAGGGUGAAAACCCUUGUCCGUUUUCGACGGGCGCGGUGCAUCGUAUCCCUCUCAGGUGAGUCGCUGGUGAGUGUGGGUGUACCCAGCCGCGUUGGCGUUUUGGGUUGGCUUGGGGCACCUCUUGGCCUAGCUUCAACUCGGACGACUAGCGGUCUUGUGUGCCCCUUCAUUUACACGUGACGGCGUCUUCCUCCUACCGCUCCAUCCCGUCUGCAAGUCCGACAGGGCAGGGGGUCCUCUGCGGCGACAUGGUUGAGUGGUUGUGACUUAGUCCUGUGGUUUUCUUCUCGUCGAUGGACUUGGUUGUGUCUCAGGGUGGUCCGGCCUCUCAUGUACUUUUACUCAACAACUAGCUGGUUGAGUCUAGUAGUGCAUCUCUGGUGCUUGCUAGCGGCCUCCGGCUUGUAUUUUGUCGUGUUUUUUCUUUGAUCAGCAUUUUUGAGGAAUUCCUCAACACCUUGGCCAUAAGCUUUAUUUGUAAAGCGGGUCGAAAGCCUGUCUUCGAGAAGAAUCGCACGUUUUACAAACAGUUACAUCUUCGCCCUCUUUUGGGGAAACCAGGGAUUAGGUGUAGUGUUGACAACUUGAUGUCCCAGGUAAAGGCUGCACCAGUAGGCACAUGAAAUAUAAUUGUAGCCAUUUCAAUGUAUGGAGAGCAUGACAGACAAAGACUUGUCUGGGUUAGCCAUUCACCGGGCCCACUGAAAGUAACAAGAAAAUAGCUGCUGCAUGUCUAUUUCCUCAUCUCAUUCAAAGAGACACGUGCACCUGCCUAAUGAUGGACACUGGACAGGUAGCAAAUCUUGAUAAAAAUAACGAGAUCCUGACUAUACUUUUAAUUUUGAGUUCUAGAUAACUUCUAAUCGACAAAAAAGGUUCUAGAUAUUCAAGAAUACUCAUUUUUGUUAUAUAUAAAAUAUUGUUUCUGAAAAGCAAUUACGAGUAAAGUCCUUCAAGUAGAAUUGAUAAAUUAGUAAACAUGAUAUGAGUAUAGACAAAAAAACCCAGAAAUAAUCAAUCUUACAGGACAAGAGGCAGUAUCAUCAGUUACAGAUCAGCACCAUAUCAUAUCAGUAGCAGCUAGAUAAAUCUGCAUAGCAAUAUGUGAGAUCUUUCAAGAUAGUUCGUACUAUUGAAGCAGCAAAAUCAUUCAAACAAAGUAAAUCACACGCUAAUUAUUUGGUUAGCACAUCGACAAGAAGAUCAAUAAGUGUACCAAGAAGUAGGCUUUUCUCCUUUGUCUGGAAUCUAAAUAUGGGGCCCAUCAAGCAGGCAAUAGAUAUGAGUUGGGUACGUCUAAACAAGGAUCUCAUGGCCGAUUCAGCAAGACUGCAAAACAAGACGGAACUUCAAAUAAACAAGGAUCUCAUGGCUGAUUCAGCAAGACUGCAAAACAAGACGGAACUUCAAAUAACAUUGUAUACAACUAACACUUUUGCCAGAAAUCCACAAUAAUGGAGGCACAGUCUGUUCAGCCCUUAAUGGUCCCAAGAAAAAGCGCAGUCCAAUCAGUGUGAGCCGACAAUAUCUCGAUGGCAGUAAAUGGUAGGCAUCAGAACACGCAGGCUUGGAUUAGAUUAGACUUGACAAGAUAUCUUGGAGAAACUUAUUAACCAUUCAUCUGCACCAAUGAGACGUAAACGAAGUCUUACUUGAACCACCAGACAAAAGAAUAUACCGAAAGAUGAUAAGUAUGUGAAGAGUUGCUUCCGGAAAUGACAUCCAUGGUUGUGGCCAUGCUUGUUCACAUUUGCUCAGGCAUGUGGAAGGCACUGUAUAACUAGGCUAGCAGAAUGCAGCUCUCUGAUGACGCUCACGAUUGCUACAGAUUCAAGAAGGCGAGAGGAUAGUCAUCGAUGAAAUGAAUUCAUAUUGUGAGUCACAGCCACUUCAAUGUAAGGACUGGAUGGCAAAAUAAUGCACACCACAGACAGUUAACGGCUGAAGUGGAUAGUAGCACUCGGUUUCACCCGAAGAAUCGAACAAGGCUUCCAAGGAGAAGGUGUGAUGCAUCUUGCGGGCUGCGCGUGGCGAAUGAACAGCUUCACACAAGCCCACAGAAAACACGAGCGUGCGCCCUGUUGUUUUCCUCAUAGGGUAUAAAACAGGAGCGGCUUCCUGUUUGUUUCCAAGAUUCUCCCACUUUGACCCCCCAACCAUGCAUGUUUGUGAGCUGCAGCAUAUAUAUACAGGUGCCAUCCUCGACACCUUCUGCAUAUAGAGUCGAGUAGCAAAGAAUAGCAAAGGCAACCAUGACUCAAGCUCAUUCAAAAUCUCACUUCCACCAAUUCUGGGAUGGGCUUCACAUCAACGGGAGCAGCGACAGCUUCGCCAUCGAGCUACUGCCGUCGCUUGGCGCAACCAUAAACCACUCCAAUAAGCUGAAGAAGUUCAUCGUAUCGCCCUACGAUCCCCGCUACAGGUGAGGUUCACACGGCCUGCACCCUCCGUACCUUCCAUGUUGCAAGAAGAAGAGAACAGCAGCAGCUGACAUGGUUUCCUCUGCUUUUUUUCUGUGUCUCUCUCUCAGAUUCUGGGAGCUGUUCCUCAUAGUCCUAGUUGUUUAUUCCGCCUGGGUUUGCCCGUUUGAACUGGCAUUCUUGAGGAACUUGCCGUCUAAGCUUGUGCUAGUUGAGAACAUUGUCAAUGGCUUCUUUGCCAUUGAUAUUGUUAUGACAUUCUUUGUAGCUUAUGUUGACAGUAAAACACAUCUUCUUGUGGACGAUCGGAAGAGAGUUGCAGUAAGGUUCGCACCUGGUUCAUAAUUUGUUUCAUCUUAAUAACCCCACAUUUGGAGCUGAAAAGGCCCAGGUGAUUCUGUCCUGGCAUUAACAAAAUAUGAUCUGAUCCUCCGCAGAUAUCUAUCAACUUGGUUCAUAUUUGAUGUAUGCUCAACAGCUCCAUUUCAACCCAUCAUCCUUCUGUUCACACACAAGGGAAAUGACCUUUCCUUUAAGGUUCUCAAUCUGCUAAGGUUGUGGCGUCUUAACAGAGUCAGCACGCUGUUUGCCAGGUUAACAUCUUCUCCAGAUUCUUCAUGUUUGAAUGAUGAAUGACAAAUGGCACAAAUUUGAUCAUCUACUUUUAACCAGGCUGGAGAAGGAUAUCCGAUUCAACUAUUUCUGGACUAGGUGCUCAAAGCUUAUUUCUGUAAGUCUUCCAGAAAUAUUACUACGUAUAAUUUUUACCGUCACCUUCAAAAGUUUCAACCAUGCAAAAUAUUAAUUAUUAUAUUCCCAGGAGAACAAAAAAUCACUGACUAUAAAAUACGUAACGAUCAAAUGCAGGUCACCCUCUUUGCGGUGCAUUGCGCGGGAUGCUUCAACUAUAUGCUUGCUGACAGAUACCCCUACCCAGAGAAUACAUGGAUUGGUGCCGUGAUGCCUACAUUCAGAUCAGAGAGCCUAUGGACUAGAUAUGUUACUGCUCUGUACUGGUCCAUUACGACGCUGACAACAACAGGAUAUGGGGACUUGCAUGCUGAGAACCCAAGGGAGAUGCUCUUUGAUAUUUUCUAUAUGCUCUUUAAUCUGGGCUUGACGGCUUACCUCAUCGGCAAUAUGACCAACCUGGUUGUUCAUGGCACCAGCCGCACCCAGAAAUUUGUAUGUUUCUCAACUUACUCACAGAACAUUCAGUGUCAUAAUUGGUUGGUAGCUAUUCAUGUCCUUAUUUCGCCCCCAAAAAAAGAACAGAAAUAGGCUGUACAUGGAUCCCAUACUACUAAAGUUGUGAAGAUCUUGAGAAAGCUAGCACUUUUAUUAUAUACGACAUGGUUCGAAAAUGAAAUGUAUCCCCUAGCCACUCAGAAAUUUUAGGCAUUAGAAUCCUAUUCUUGCAUGGACGCCACAAGGACCAAGUUCUUGUAUCCCCUAGCCACUCAACAAUUUUAGGCAACAAGAAAACAGAGAAAACAACAUGAAUCAAGGUCUUGCACAAUCGACGCUAAAAUAGUUACCGUCAUUCUUGUUCCACGCCUAUAGUCCUGUUGAUAUCUUCUAUUUAAAUGAUGCAGAGGGACUCCAUAUAUGCAGCUUCAGAGUUCGCGGCACGAAAUCAGCUGCCUGUGAGCAUAAAGGAGCAAAUGCUAUCUCACUUCUGCCUACAGUUCAAGACAGAAGGCUAUAACCAGAAGACCAUGUUAAAUGGUCUACCAAAAGGAAUCCGUUCAAGCAUAGCAUACAGCUUAUUCUUCCCAAUCUUGCGACGAGCCUAUCUCUUCCAUGGAGUAUCCAACAGUUUCAUUGCAGAACUGGUAAUAUAGUCAACUAUUCAAUGUUUUUCUAACUAUCUUGGGAGAACUGCUAAUAUAUGUACUAAUUGGAUAUGUUGGAUAAUAUAGGUCAUGGAAGUGCAGCCUGAGUAUUUUCCACCAAAGGAAGAUAUCAUAUUGCAGAAUGAAGGGGCAGCUGAUAUUUACCUAAUAGUUUCAGGAGCAGUGGUUAGUUUGUUAUCUCUAUAAGUUAUGAAUCAAAGCUUGUGCAAGUUCGUACAAUUAAGCUAAUUGCCAGUACUAUCUGAUUUUUUGUAGAAUAUGAUAACAACCAUAAAUGGGAAUGAGCAGGUAUAAUUUCUUCAGCUAUAAUGCAGAGACUCCCAGAUAUCACUAAGAUAUCCAUGGAUUAUUUUCAUUGAUAAAAUGAAUUUCUUGAAAGCAGGUAUAUGCGAAAGUUACGAAUGGUGAUAUGUUUGGAGAGGUUGGUGCUCUAUGUAACAUAACUCAGCCAUUUACUUUCCGCACAGCUGAACUGUCACAACUCCUGAGAAUCAGCAGGACAAGACUCAGAGAGGCCAUUCAAAAUCACAGGGAAGACAAUGACAUUCUAAUGAAUAAUCUAUUCCAGGUAUAGCUUCAAUUUUGGAACACAGUCAAACAAUUUAAGAGUUAAAUUCAUCUAAACAGAAACUAACAACUUCUUGUGCCAAUGUACAGAAACUGAAGCUACCGGAAAAUUUACCUGAAGUGAACCAACCAGACAGAAGAUUCUUGAGCAAGUAUGACCUAUUUCAUAUACCUCGAGAAGAACGGAUGCUACAAUGGCCACACCAACAUUACACAGAACAGAAAAGUAUAGAUCUUGGUAGCAAGGUUCCAAUAUCUGGAGAUGGUCCUCAUUCAACGAAGUUAUUCGGACAAGUGCCACAGCAAGAAGACAUCCAUAACAAGUCGAACUGCAAGUAUAGAUUAUCGGAUGGAAUGAUGGACAAAGAAGAGGAUCUCAACGAGGUUCGCAUAAAUUGUGAGACCAAAACAAGCGCUGAAGAGUUCUGUAUUAAAAUAAAAUCCGAAGACAAGACCGCAGCAAGCAGUCAGCAAACAAUACUUGCGAAAAUGCAGCCGGGUUCUCCACAAAGGACAUCCGAAAACAUAUCAAGGAGCAGAUAUCAAGAUUAUAGUGGCAUAAAAGCAGCCAAUAAAAGAGUUACAAUUCAUAUAUAUUCUCAUAAUGCAAUAGGUUCUACGGUACAGAAUGGGAAGCUUAUCAGCCUGCCUGAUUCGCUGGAGGAACUUAUAAAAAUUGGCAGUAAGUGAAAAUGUUUUUAGCAUGUGACUCAUUUUGAUUCAUGCUGUAGCAGAGACCAGAUAUACACCACACUUUAUAGUAAAUUAGAUACUGCAACAUGCACUUCUCUCAUCAAAUAUUUCUUCACUAUGCAGGACAGAAGUUUCCAGAUUUCCAUCCGACAAAAGUGGUCAGUAGAGAUUAUGCUGAAAUAGAUGACAUUAGUGUCAUCCGAGAUGGCGACCACAUAUUCUUUCUUCAGAUUUAAAAAAAUAUAUAGCACAAACCAACCUAACCAGAUAACUCGUAGAGAGAUAAGUGCUCCAUUUAGUGAAAGUAAUGGAUGCACAUGAUGGCUUCCGACUGAAGAUGUGAAGACGAGGGACAUUUUGACAUUCUUACAAAUAGUUUUUAUCAUUACUAACAUCGUUUAAAUGCUUCACUGUACAAUAUAGCAGGUGCACAGAGUCAUGUAUGCCUGUGGGCAAAAGCAUUUCUUAGUUCCAUUUAUAGCAAGUUAUGUGUUCGAGUCAUGAGGUAAUCUUAUUACCGACCGGUUGUGGCCUUGAUCUUUAUUGUUUGUUUUGACUGCUUCGAAUAUUUGCUACAUUUUAAUAAAGAUGGUUGUAUGCAUCACAAUGAUGCAGAACCCCUUCAUCCACUUCAACUGCAAACUCAGAAACACAAGGGCCUUACAAAGCUGGAGUUCGAAGAGCUUUUGGAGGGAUAAAAGAACAACCUGUUUGGGCCAAAAUAAUUAUUAACCUGUUCGACCAGGCUGAAGAAAUCAGAACCUUUAUCCUUCACGGAGGCUGGCUUAGACGGGGGAUUUAGAAGAAACUUCUUGACCCCGCAAAAAAUUAACUUCUUGGGCUUUGCUCGAUUGAGAGAUGUAUGGCCAGACAACGCUCGAGGCUUACCUGGCUUAAUCUUGGGGAGACGAACACCUCCUAUUUUCACAUACACACCAGCCACAGGAGGAAAAACUUCAUCGGUCAGCUUAAGGAGAACGAUUGGAUCGUGACAAAUCACAAAGAUUUGGAGGAUGUCCUAUUAAACACUUCGGUAAAAGAAUCGGCCGACCCAUAUACAGAUCACAUGACGGACCUUGAUUUCCUUGGCCUCAACCAGCUUGAUCUCAGCAGCCUUGAUGCCUGAUGGUGUUACGGCCCAGAGGUGCCUUAUCAUACCGGAAACCGGCCCAAGUAGGCCAGCCCGUGGCCCCCUAGGUCGGUUUAUGCCAUGGGCCAACGUCCCGGCCGAUGGGCCCAAUAGAAGGACCCGGAAGACUUGGAGUACACGACAAGGAAGUUGGCGUCUAGGAGGACUACUCCCCCGAUACUAACCAACUAGGAUCCUAUAAACCCUAGGCCCUAGUAUCCUAUAUAAGUCAGGGCCGGGCUAGUCGAUAGGGAGAACCUAGAGAUUAUUCUUAGUCCUCGAUCAAUACAACAUGACAUUAAGAAGGUUUUACCUCGAUCCCGAUGGACUGAACCUAGGUAAACCGUCUCCAGUUUCCCCUCAUAUCUAAUCGUCUAGCCGACAUACCCUAUCGAGGGAUCUGCCGGAAAUCACUCUAACAGUGGCGCGGCAUACCCUAUCGAGGGAUCUGCCGGAAAUCACUCUAACAGUGGCGCGCCAGGCAUGGGGUGUGCUAGGCGAACUCAAACACCAGAUGGGAUCUUCAACCGGUGCCGAUGUCAUCAUGCAGGGAAUGAUCUUUGCUUUCGAUGUGAUGUGUUACGUCACCGAUUCGGCGGGCUACCUUGAGCUCGUCGAGACCUUCGCUGCAAGCCGGAUCGUCCACUUCGGCAACCUCGAGUUUGUCGCCGAGUCCCACGGCGAGCUCGUCCUCCAAGGCCGGUCAGGCCUAGGAGCGGCCAUCCGUCUUCUUCAACUGCCCACCUCCCACAUCAUCGCCAAUGUCGAUACGCUCAAUGACGUCCUCAAGGAACCUGGUGAUACCAAGGAGCUCAAAGAUCUCGAUGAAGAGAUGGGCGGCUCGGCCAACAGUUGUCCGGAGGCGACCCCAGCAUCUGCACCACUUCAACCGUGGUAGGCAACAUCAACGUAUGCCUGCUACAUGGAAGAUACACACGAUAGUGCGGCGGCCGCCAACGCGGGGGACGAAGUCGAGGAAGAGGAGGAUUCUGACGAUGCCGCGAUAAACACACCGAUUCCAGGCACCGACGCACCAGCAAGAAGCUCACGUCGGACACUCUGUCCAAGAGCCACGCCGGAACGACCGGCGAUGUUGGGGGUUUGGCCAGCCGACGAACUCAUACGACGGACAGUUGUACCAAGGAAUACCGUGGGCCCAAGCCCCACGAUGAGGCUCCUCGGACAUCAGCCUAAGAAGACCCGAGGGCCAACCCUGCGGCUCAAUGUGCCGUGUGGCCCGCCCUUCGAGGAAACCGAGAUGCAGCAUGCACCUCAACUGCAACGGCAAGCUCGAGAUAGAGACCUACUACUCUUCAAUGAGUACGACCAUCAAGUCAGCCUGGAUGAUGCACGUAACACUAUAAACGCCAUCCGCUCUGGGGAUGCAGGUCACUCCGCGACGUAUUCGGCCUGCUUCACUGACGAAAUUGUCGCCCACACUUUUCCACCAAAUUUCUAGCUAAAUGCGGUGGACAAGUAUGAUCGAAGUCAGGACCCAGAGAUUUGGAUAACAAACUACACUAUCGCAGUCCAGGCGGCUAACGGCGAUGACUGGCACGCCGUCAAGCAUUUACCCCUGAUGCUGAAGGCAUCCGCCAAGGCCUAGUUGAAAACCCUCAUGCCCAGGUAGAUCGCCGUCUGGGAUGAUUUGCAAGACGAAUUCAUCACUAACUUCAAGGGCACGUAUAUCUGGCCUGCUGAUGCCAGCGACCUUGGAAAUCUGGCCCAAGGAGAGAAUGAAACGGUGCACGAUUACUGGACACGUUUCUUGAAGAAAAAGGAUGAGAUCGUCGACUGCGACGACGCGGAGGCCAUCGCUGCGUUCAAGCAUGGCGUUUCCGAUGAGUUCCUCAGCAGAGACUUCGGGUAUUGUAAGCCCAAGAUCAUGCCGGCUCUGAUGGAGAUGGUUCAAAGGUUCUGCUCCGAAGAGGAUCCAUGAUUUGCCAAGCAGAAGGCGCACGAUGGUAACCCCGGCGCGUCCGGUACGAAGGACGAGCGCGGAAAAUCUAAACGCAACUGCAAGAAUAAGCGCAGAAACAAGGAGGACGAUGACUAGGUCAAUGCCGGUUUGGACACACAAGGGGGAGACGGCGGUCUGAAGUAGAAGCAAUGAAGGGCAAGAAGGGCGACGGCAGGCUUUGACAAGGUCAUGGAUAGGCCUUGUGACUAUCAUCGGCCCCUGAACGCUAGAGACCCCCCAACCAACCACACAAACCGAAAAUGUUGGAUCUACAAGAAUAUGGCCAAGCAGGCCAGAAAAGGCAACACUGAAAAGCAGAAUCCACCCAAUGACAAUGAGGAUGAGCCUCACGCUGGUGUGGGUAACGACGGGCAAAAGCAAUAACCCCUCCAGAUAAAGAAUGUCAACAUGAUUUAUCCAUGUAACGAGACGAGGAAGGAUAGAAAGCGCGCUCUACGCGAGGUCUACACCACAGAGCCUGUGGUUCCACAAUACAUGGCAUGGUCUGAGCAGCCGAUCUCUUCUGAUCAACGCAAUCAUCCGACAAGCGUGCGUCACAACAGAAAUGCCGCGAUCAUCCUGGACCCAAUUAUUCAAGGAUAUAACCAAAUCAUGGUCCUGAUGGACGGUGGCAGCAACCUGAACUUGAUAUAUGCUAAUACAUUGCGGAAGAUGUAAGUCGACCAAUCUUGCAUAAAGCCGACCAAAAAAAGUUUAAGGGCAUAAUCCCUGGCAUGGAAGCUUCACCUCUAGAAAGGGUCACGUUGGACGUGGCACCGGACAACUACCAAUUGGAGUCGUUGAGCUUCGAGGUAGUAGUACCUUUCAAAAGUGGCUACCAUUCCUUCUCCUUGGUCGAACUACGUUUGCACAAUAUAGUGCGGUCCUCGCAUUACACUUAUCUGAAGCUUAAGAUGUCAGGCCCGAAUGGUGUCAUAACCAUAUCUGGCGACGUGGAGCGAUCUCUGAAGACCGAGCAGGCCACAUGCGCUCUGGCAUCCAAGGAACUCACAAAAUCUCUGGCUGCCGAGGAGCUCUAAGGAAUGCGGUCCAUGAUUGACAAGGAUGAUAUUGAACUGACCAAGUGCACCAAAUCAACCUCCUGGACGCCAGCUUCCUUGACGUGUACUCCAAGUCUUCUGGGUCCUUCCCUCUAUUGGGCCCAUAGGCCGGGAUGUUGGCCCGGGGCAUAAACCGACCUAGGGGGCCAUGGCCCAUGGGCCAGCCUACUUGGGCUGAUUUCUGGUAUUAUGUGAAACCCCUGGGCUGUAACACCGUCAUAGAUGGUUCAUUACUAAGUUGAUUGAACUUAAGUAUGAACUCUCAUCCUUUCAUGAAUCACUCUCCCAUUCCAAUAACUAUUUUAGCAUGGCAAAAAUAAAAAUAAUUGUUUAGCAUGCUAUAAAUAUUUAGCAUAUAUAUAGUCAACCUACAUGCAUAAUACUCAUGGUGGAAUCCUACAAUGCAUAACAAAAUAGUAGAAGUAAAACGUGAUCAAGUAUGGUGCAACUUGCCUUAUGCUUGAUGAAGAUUUUAGAACACACUCUUGAAAUACUAUCCUUCGCACUCCAAUUUUCUAUCGCAGAAACUAGCAAUGUCAAUUACAGCUAGGCCAACAAUGCAACUGAAUUAUCAAAUAAACACAAAUUGGCCGAUUCAAAUAAAAUCCAAAUACAGCCAAAUAUAGAGCUAAGGCUCUUAGGGAUUUCCAAGGUUAGGGUUUGGUAAAUUUCAAUAUGCAAAAAGAAUCAUGUUGCGCAAUUAUGGCCAAGCAUGACCUAAAUAGAAAAAAGAUGAACACGGGUCAAAGGUUUAGAAAAGUUGGACAAAGGUUGUCAAAUGGUUGAUAUUUCACCAUUAGAUUCAAUAUGCAAAAAUAAUCAUUUAACUUGAGCUUAUAGAACUCAAAUUAUGGUGAAAACAAGUGUUGAAUUUAAAUUCAUAGUGCUCGAAGUGGAUUAGGGUGUACUAGUAGUCCCUCGUCAGGGUUCCCCUCUAGAUUCAGUGUGCAAAAAGAAUAACUCAAAAAGGUGUUGAUGUGUGCAAACUAUGACUGCAUCGAGAUAUAAUUCAAAUUUGAAUAGUUCAAAAGAAUAGUUCGAAGCAGUGUGUCAAAAAGUUAAAGCACUCCAAGAUGAACAAUAUGCAAUAAGUUUCACCUUAAUUGGAGAUCAGAACUUAUAGGUGUUGUAAGAUCUAGGGGCUUUUCUAGAAAAGUGCAGCAGCCGGCAGGAUCGGCUUUGAAUGUGAGUCGUUGGAUAUAGUGGUCCAUACCUUAAAAUUUUAGCCUUUGAUCUGAGAUCCGACGGUGCAGAUCCUAGGGUUUCUC